CAGGAGGUAGUUUAUUUAAAAUAUUAAUUUUGGGGAUUAAUGAUAAAGUUAUUCUUU
rnacentral:tRNA from 1 species